UUCCGGUUGAUCCCGCCGGACCCGACUGCUAUCAGAGUAGGACUAAGCCAUGCGAGUCAACGCCGUAAGGCGUGGCAUACGGCUCAGUAACACGUAGUCAACAUGCCCAAAGGACGUGGAUAACCUCGGGAAACUGAGGAUAAACCGCGAUAGGCCAAGGUUUCUGGAGUGAGCCAUGGCCGAAAUCUAUAUGGCCUUUGGAUUGGACUGCGGCCGAUCAGGCUGUUGGUGAGGUAAUGGCCCACCAAACCUGUAACCGGUACGGGCUUUGAGAGAAGGAGCCCGGAGAUGGGCACUGAGACGAGGGCCCAGGCCCUAUGGGGCGCAGCAGGCGCGAAACCUCUGCAAUAGGCGAAAGCUUGACAGGGNUACUCUGAGUGAUGCCCGCU
rnacentral:rRNA from 1 species